rnacentral:rRNA from 1 species
GCGUGAGUGAAGAAGGCCUUAGGGUUGUAAAGCUCUUUUACCAGGGACGAUAAUGACGGUACCUGGAGAAUAAGCCCCGGCAAACUUCGUGCCAGCAGCCGCGGUAAUACGAAGGGGGCUAGCGUUGUUCGGAAUUACUGGGCGUAAAGCGCACGUAGGCGGGUCGUUAAGUCAGGGGUGAAAUCCCGGAGCUCAACUCCGGAACUGCCUUUGAUACUGGCGAUCUAGAGAUCGAGAGAGGUGAGUGGAAUUCCGAGUGUAGAGGUGAAAUUCGU